GUAAGCGUGCGCAGCGGUUAUGUAAGACAGAUGUGAAAUCCCCGGGCUCAACCUGGGAACUGCAUUAGUGACUGCAUAGCUGGAGUACGGCAGAGGGGGAUGGAAUUCCGCGUGUAGCAGUGAAAUGCGUAGAUAUGCGGAGGAACACCGAUGGCGAAGGCAAUCCCCUGGGCCUGUACUGACGCUCAUGCACGAAAGCGUGGGGAGCAAACAGGAUUAGAUACCCUUGU
rnacentral:rRNA from 1 species